rnacentral:rRNA from 1 species
GACGAACGCUGGCGGCGUGCCUAACACAUGCAAGUUGAGCGACGAACCAGGGCUUGCCCUGGGGCAAAGCAGCGAACGGGUGAGUAACACGUGGGUAACCUACCCCGAUAACCGGGACAACCCGAGGAAACUCGGGCUAAUACCGGAUGUGCUCACUGGACUUCGGUUCAGUGCGUAAAGGAAGCUUCGGCCUCCGUAUCGGGAGGGGCCCGCGGCCCAUUAGUUUGUUGGUGAGGUAACGGCUCACCAAGACCGCGAUGGGUAGCUGGUCUGAGAGGACGAUUGGCCAAACUGGGACCGGGACACGGCCCAGACCCCUACGGGGGGGAGGAGGGGGGAAUCUUGCGGAAUGGCGGAAAGCGGGACGCAGCAACGCCGCGUGGGGGAAGAAGGCCUUCGGGUUUGAAACCCCUUUCAGGAGGGAAGAAGGUUCGGCGGUGAAUAGCCGGCCGGACUGACGGUAACUCCACAAGAAGACCCGGGUAACUACGUG